UACGGGGGGAGCAAGCGUUGUUCGGAUUUACUGGGCGUAAAGGGCGCGUAGGCGGUCGUGACAAGUCACUUGUGAAAUCUCCGGGCUUAACUCGGAACGGUCAAGUGAUACUGUCGGACUAGAGUACAGAAGGGGCAACUGGAAUUCUCGGUGUAGCGGUGAAAUGCGUAGAUAUCGAGAGGAACACCUGCGGCGAAGGCGGGUUGCUGGGCUGACACUGACGCUGAGGCGCGAAAGCCAGGGGAGCGAACGGG
rnacentral:rRNA from 1 species